CGCGGCCUAUCAGCUUGUUGGUGAGGUAACGGCUCACCAAGGCAUUGACGGGUAGCUGGUCUGAGAGGAUGAUCAGCCACACUGGGACUGAGACACGGCCCAGACUCCUACGAGAGGCAGCAGUAGGGAAUAUUGCACAAUGGGCGAAAGCCUGAUGCAGCAACGCCGCGUGCGGGAAGAAGGCCCUAGGGUUGUAAACCGCUUUCAGCAGGGAAGAAAAUGACGGUACCUGCAGAAGAAGGUGCGGCCAACUACGUGCCAGCAGCCGCGGUGACACGUAGGCACCAAGCGUUGUCCGGAUUUAUUGGGCGUAAAGAGCUCGUAGGCGGUUCAGUUAGUCGGGUGUGAAAACUCUGGGCUCAACCCAGAGACGCCACUCGAUACUGCUGUGACUAGAGUGCGGUAGGGGAGCGGGGAAUUCCUAGUGUAGCGGUGAAAUGCGCAGAUAUUAGGAGGAACACCAGUGGCGAAGGCGCCGCUCUGGGCCGUAACUGACGCUGAGGAGCGAAAGCGUGGGUAGCAAACAGGAUUAGAUACCCUGGUAGUCCACGCCGUAAACGUUGGGCACUAGGUGUGGGUCUCAACCAACGAGAUCCGCGCCGUCGCUAACGCAUUAAGUGCCCCGCCUGGGGAGUACGG
rnacentral:rRNA from 1 species